rnacentral:tRNA from 1 species
AUUAGUAUAAUAAAAGUACCCUUGGUUUCCAACCAAAAAGCACAUAAUA